rnacentral:tRNA from 1 species
UGGGGUUGUGGCUCAGCGGUAGAGCACUUGCCUAGCAUGCAUGAGGCACUGGAUUCAAUCCCCAGCGCCACAA